AUGUCCAUGCGUGUACAGGUUCAACUUCAGUUUAGGUCACAAUAUUUAUUUGCUUGCACAUGCGUGUACGACCUGAACAAAUUGCCCAUGAUUUUUACAUAUUUCAUGCAUUCUGAUCCCACACACAUACACACACACACAAGCAAGUGCGGCUAUAAAUUCAGAAAACUUGUAGUAGUUUGUAGUAUACAAUACAUGGUUGUGCAGUAUAGUACACAGCACAAGGUUGUGCAGUUUGUAGUAAUUCUUUCAUUAGUAGUAAUUCUCUCAACUUUCCUGUCAGCGUCCUGGAUAUGGGGAUAUCCAGCCCUGCCUGCCUGCGGCCCAUCACGUGGCUCCAUCGACGGCCUGGUACGGCCUAGCUUCAACAUCAACAACUCAAGACCCUCGCGAGGGGUCAAGCCUCGCGAGGCGGACGGUACCAAGACCCCCGACGGGAUCGGCCUUACCAGGCUGGCUCCCGAGGGGCGGAGAUUUCUAUGCAAGGUUUACCUCACGAGGCUCAGCUGA
rnacentral:rRNA from 1 species